GUUAUACUCCCUCCAAUCCAUAUUACUUGUCUUAGGUUUGUCCAGAUACAGAUGUAUCUAGACAAGUGUUGGUGUUAGAUACAUCUGUAUCUAGACAAAUAUAAGACAAGUAAUAUGGAUCGGAGAGAGUAUUAU
rfam:Hordeum vulgare subsp. vulgare, WGS project CAJW01000000 data, contig: morex_contig_46169